UACGAAGGGUGCAAGCGUUACUCGGAAUUAUUGGGCGUAAAGGGUGCGUAGGUGGUUUGUUAAGUCUGAGGUGAAAGCCCUGGGCUCAACCUGGGAAUUGCAUUGGAUACUGGCAGGCUAGAGUGCGGUAGAGGAUGGCGGAAUUCCCGGUGUAGCAGUGAAAUGCGUAGAGAUCGGGAGGAACAUCUGUGGCGAAGGCGGCCAUCUGGACCAGCACUGACACUGAGGCACGAAAGCGUGGGGAGCAAACAGG
rnacentral:rRNA from 1 species